rnacentral:rRNA from 1 species
CGCGUAGGUGGUAGUGCAAGUCUGAGGUGGAAUCUUAGGGCUUAACCCUAAAAUUGCCUUGGAAACUGCAUUACUUGAGUCAGUGAGGGGAGGGUAGAAUUCCUGGUGUAGCGGUGAAAUGCGUAGAUAUCAGGAGGAAGGCCGGUGGCGAAGGCGGCCCUCUGGCGCUGAACUGACACUGAGGCGCGAAAGCGUGGGUAGCAAACAGGAUUAGAUACCCUGGUAGUCCACGCCCUAAACGGUGGGCACUAGGUGUAGGGCUCGUAAGGGUUCUGUGCCGAAGCGAAAGCAUUAAGUGCCUCGCCUGGGGAGUACGGCCGCAAGGUUGAA